GCAGAAGGGAUUGAUAGAGGGGACAGAACGUUACGAAGGGAUUGAUAUAGAGGGGACAGAAGGUUACGAAGGGAUUGAUAUAGAGGGGACAGAAGGUUAUGAAGGGAUUGAUAGAGGGGACAGAAUGUUACGAAGGGAUUGAUAGAGGGGACAGAAGGUUACGAAGGGAUUGAUAGAGGGGACAGAAUGUUAUGAAGGGAUUGAUAGAGGGGACAGAAUGUUACGAAGGGAUUGAUAGAGGGGACAGAAGGUUACGAAGGGAUUGAUAGAGGGGACAGAAUGUUACGAAGGGAUUGAUAGAGGGGACAGAACGUUACGAAGGGAUUGAUAGAGGGGACAGAACGUUACGAAGGGAUUGAUAGAGGACAGAACGUUACGAAGGGAUUGAUAGAGGGGACAGAACGUUAUGAAGGGAUUGAUAGAGGGGACAGAAGGUUACGAAGGGAUUGAUAGAGGACAGAACGUUACGAAGGGAUUGAUAUAGAGGGGACAGAAGGUUAUGAAGGGAUUGAUAGAGGGGACAGAACGUUACGAAGGGAUUGAUAUAGAGGGGACAGAACGUUACGAAGGGAUUGAUAGAGGGGACAGAACGUUACGAAGGGAUUGAUAUAGAGGGGACAGAACGUUAUGAAGGGAUUGAUAGAGUGGACUGAUAUAGAGGGGACAGAAGGUUAUGAAGGGAUUGAUAGAGGGGACAGAACGUUAUGAAGGGAUUGAUAGAGGGGACAGAAGGUUAUGAAGGGAUUGAUAGAGGGGACAGAACGUUAUGAAGGGAUUGAUAGAGGGGACAGAACGUUAUGAAGGGAUUGAUAGAGGGGACAGAACGUUACGAAGGGAUUGAUAGAGGGACAGAACGUUACGAAGGGAUUGAUAGAGGACAGAACGUUAUGAAGGGAUUGAUAGAGGGGACAGAACGUUAUGAAGGGAUUGAUAGAGGGGACAGAACGUUAUGAAGGGAUUGAUAGAGGGGACAGAACGUUAUGAAGGGAUUGAUAGAGGGGACAGAACGUUAUGAAGGGAUUGAUAGAGGGGACAGAACGUUACGAAGGGAUUGAUAGAGGACAGAACGUUACGAAGGGAUUG